AGCCUAUUUGAGUUGCAGAAAAUCCUAUAUAUUUUCCACUCCAAUUCACAUUUUCCCAUUAAACAAGGGUUUACAGGUGGUUUGACGCUACUAGGUUAUUAUAAGAGACGGAGGUCUUCCGGUACAAUAUUCUGUUGCUUACCUUUGGAUAAUUAGUGGUGACAAACUACCCAAUCAAUAGAAGUAUAUGUGAGAACCUUUUCUUAAACCAGACAUAAGGCACUCUAGGUGCAACCUUAGUGGGCGUUUGGACAUAAGAAUUAUAAAAUUGCAAAAUAGGGUGAAAUUGUUUGUCAAGUGAAUGGUAUUUGAAUUUUGAGUUGUAUUU
rnacentral:lncRNA from 1 species